rnacentral:lncRNA from 10 species
UGGGAGCCUGAAUGUCGCUGGCUGCCGUUCACAGCAGGCUCUCUCUGAGCACCGUGGGGAGGCAGUGACACCCGCUGGCCUCGCAGCGACACUCCGGCAGCUGUCCUGUUUUCCAGCCUGGACGUGAUAGCAAAGAUAAAGAACCUGUAAAGAACCACCCAUCUAGGGAUACAUUUCCAGCCCCCCUUUUAUCAAAGCGGUGACAUGUGACCGAAUUCUGCCCAGUGACAUGUGGGAAGAAGUGGCUCUUUCAGGACUGUUCCCCCAAAACUGUCUUUGGGAUGCUCCAAACUUCUUUAUUCCCCCAAUCCUCUGAUGAACAUGCACCUGACAUUGGAUGCUACAUGUUAAAAACGGAGUUGUCAUCUUCUACCUGGGUCGCUGAAUGACUGUGUGGAUCAGGAAGCUCCCCACUCUUCCCUGCCAUGACUGAACUAGCCACUGUCAUCUGGAGGGUGUCUGUAAUAGCAUCUAGCAUUGCCUAACAUCAUACUAAUGGAACACUACAUAUUUUCAUCUGAAGUGAUAUCAGUGGAAUUUCCACUGAAAGCAAAGGUUUAGAUUUUGGAGCAAUAAUGCUUAAUAUUUGUCAGUAGGAGCUUAUUAAAUAUAAAUACCAGUCCCAGUGCUUAGAACUUUUUAUGUGCUGUCUCCUUUCAUUUUCCUUCCAACUCUCCAGUUUGUAUCAGUCGGGGAACACCAAGUUGUGCUGUGGUGACAAAUAGCUCUGAAAUCUCAGUGAUAUAACACAACAAAGGUUUAUUUCUUGCUGAUGAAGAUUCACUGAGGUUCUGGGACACUCUACAGAGAAGCUCUUCUGCAUGUAUUGGCUCAUCAUUCCCAGUGGUUUUACUCUUAGGAACCCACCAUGUCAAUAAGUAGUUCCACAUGGUCCCAGGGGAAGUCCACCUGGAUGUCUCACAGUGGUAGUCAAGUGCUUUGACAAGGAAGUGACACACCCUACUAUCACCAAAUCCCAUUGGCCAGAACCAGUCACAUGGCCUCCUUUUCCCUCCUGUAUCCCUACUAUGUGC